CGCACGGGUGAGUAACACGUAUCCAACCUGCCGUCUACUCUUGGACAGCCUUCUGAAAGGAAGAUUAAUACAAGAUGGCAUCAUGAGUCCGCAUGUUCACAUGAUUAAAGGUAUUCCGGUAGACGAUGGGGAUGCGUUCCAUUAGAUAGUAGGCGGGGUAACGGCCCACCUAGUCUUCGAUGGAUAGGGGUUCUGAGAGGAAGGUCCCCCCCAUUGGAACUGAGACACGGUCCAA
rnacentral:rRNA from 1 species